CUCCUACGGGAGGCAGCAGUGAGGAAUAUUGGACAAUGGGCGCAAGCCUGAUCCAGCCAUGCCGCGUGCAGGAUGACGGUCCUAUGGAUUGUAAACUGCUUUUGUACGGGAAGAAACAAUCCUACGUGUAGGAUCUUGACGGUACUGUAAGAAUAAGGAUCGGCUAACUCCGUGCCAG
rnacentral:rRNA from 1 species